GAAGAAGACAACGAUACGGUGACCACAACCAACACGAGGUUCACGGCUCUACAGAAUUCUCUUCUGAUGUUUAGCUGUGGUCCCUUGAUCCAGACACUCCUCAGCAACCAGUCUUUGUAUGGAAUCCACCGUUCUCAAUAAAGAUCUAUUUGUCUCUUCUUCCACUUCCAUCAGGGUCCAGUGACUACUAGGGGGUCUCUGCAAACUUCCAUUGACCACAAGAUAAGGAUUCACUCAAGGAAGGAUUAAAUGCCACCAUCUCACCCCAACCCUUUGGUGCAUCUGCAUUGGAAAUUAUUGGUCAAUUUUUGAGUGAUGGCCUUUCCACCACCAUACCUUUUAAAAUAGUAACAUAUGAAUGGUUAAUUGUUUUAGGCUGCAGCCAUUUAUUUUAAUUUCCAGUAAUACAUUUUAAACUGAAAUUGUAUGAAAUGCCAUGUUAUUUUAUGUAUUGUAAAAAAAACAAGUUAUUCAACACCAUUUCAACUAAUGUCAAGCAAUUUUAGAAUGUGACUGUUAUGCAUAAUUACUGCAUCCUCCUUACCACACAAUUCUUAUAACAAUUGACAUAACAACAGUGCAGUUAAGGUCUGACCAUGUCAAAGUUGUAUCAACUGCAGCUUUUAUACAUAAAGUAAAUGGGGUUGUUUAAAUUGAAACCUUUUUGGAAUUAUUUAUUUUUUGAACUUGAACUGUGCAUAGAAAAUGCAUCAAAUAAUCAAGCAGUUUGUGGUUUUCCCUGUCUGAUGCUUGGACAGUUGUGUGGAACCAGUUUCUCUUCUAUGUAUUUGAUGGUUGUGCUCUUAUGUGAUGUUAAGAAGAGAAUGGAGCACAGUAAUUCUAAUAACUACAUUUUACUAAAAUCUAUACUUUAUAAUUUAUAAUUUUGUUGAGAUUAUAAUAACAGAAACUGUAAAAAGAAUAAUUACUAAAAUUGUUACAUGUAAGAUUAUUGCUAUUAUAUUUAUUAAUGAAUUAUAUAGUUAUAUUCAGAUGAGUAAAUACAGUAUGUUUAUAAAACCAGAACAUAUACACACAUUAUUAUUAUUAUUAUUAUUAUUAUUAUUAUUUAUUCCCAUAGAUGUCAGUGGCUGUUUUUUUUCUCUCCAACAUUCUUUAGAAUAUUUUAGUUUUGUUCAACAGAAAAAAGAAACAGAACUUUAGAACUACUUGAGUUUGAGUAAAUGAUGAGGGAAAUUUUCUUUUUGGUCAAUGAUCUUAUUGAGUUAAAAUUAAGUCCCUUGAAUUUGCAUAAGACUCUAUUGUAGUUAUUUGCCUUAUGAUCGCAUAACAUGUUUUAUUUUGUUAUGGCAUGGGAAAAGCCAAAAUUCAGUCAGCAACGUAUACAAACUGUUCUGCUUAAUUUUAAAUGUUUAUGUUUGAUUCAUUGCGGUCAGCUUUUACAACAGUGAUGCUAAAUGAACAAUUAUCUGAACAUAAAGUGUAUCUUAAAUGGAGGAUUUUUCCUUUUAAAAGCUUCAUUAAAUAAGUGUUGAAAGUCAUGUUCAUCAUUUAGAAUUUUUUGGCACAUCUCUACAUACAAUACAGACACCAAAUAAAUCUGUACAUGUUCAUAAAUUGUAUGUGCUCACUGAUCAGUGUUGUGGAUCCUUUUAUAAGAGCCUAUUUUUUUCUCUUGUAAAUAAUAACACUUUAAAAUGUCUUUUACCAUGAUAAUUUAAAUUAUCUUUUCAUUUGCAACAAUGUAUAAACUGCCAUAAGUUAGUCUCAAUUUCGUGAGGCAGUGUAAAUUAAAUUAACAUUUGUAGAGUG
ensembl:processed_transcript